UACAUACAUACACACACACAUCUGCUUCUAUGAAGAUUACCUCAUUAUAAUGGUAAACCAAAAGGAGUAAAUGUAUCCUGCAAAUCCGGGAUUCUGGGAUCACUUUGAGCCAUCGUAUAUUCUGAUACAGUCUGAACAGACAACAAACCAUGGAGAUAAAAUAAAGUAAUAAUAACAACACAUAAAAUCAUGAUGAGAAUAGAGGACCAGAAUCUCUCAUGCGUCUUACAUAUGUGUUUAUAAACACACGGCAUGACGUUCUCGGAAGACCGC